rnacentral:rRNA from 1 species
UACGUAGGUGGCAAGCGUUGUCCGGAUUUACUGGGUGUAAAGGGGGCGCAGGCGGGAAGCUAAGUUGGAUGUGAAAUACCGGGGCUCAACUCCGGAGCUGCAUCCAAAACUGGUUUUCUUGAGUGGAGUAGAGGCAAGCGGAAUUCCGAGUGUAGCGGUGAAAUGCGUAGAUAUUCGGAGGAACACCAGUGGCGAAGGCGGCUUGCUGGGCUCUAACUGACGCUGAGGCCCGAAAGCGUGGGGAGCAAACGGGAUUAGAUACCCUGGUAGUCCCUGA